rnacentral:rRNA from 1 species
UGUCCAGCCAGGGCAAUUCUAAGGGGAAGAUAGAUGCAGGGCACUUAACCUGCACAGAUAUCCUAUGGAGGUGGAGUGGGAAUUAAUAAUAUUUUGAGAAUCUUUGGGGAAAAGAGACUUUACUGACAAGGUUUGUCUCUGUUCCUAUUUCACCUUAUGGUGUUGUGUCAAGGAAUCACUAUUUUUUUUUAUUAUAUUAAUUAAACUCUAAAUAUUAAUCAAUCAUGAACAUUAGCAUCACUUGAAUUUUCCCUCUGCUAACAAGAAUGAACUGAAUUUUAUGACUUUCUGGAAAGGGCAGAGAUAUUAAAUCAGGGUUUUCAAUUGCUGCAUUUGUGGGUGGAUGUUUUACGCUCACAUCUCAAUGCACAGACUGAAAUACUAAUACUACAGAAUUAUGUCCACUGAACUUACACAAUUAUUACAUUGCUUGGGUGCAUGCACACUUAGCUCCUUGUGCUGGCAGCGCGCAUCCUCACUCAUCUGCCACGAGAUCCAGCUAGGUCGGGGUUGUCCUAGGCUCUGUUCGGGGAGGCUCAACUGGGAGAAGGGGCAGUCUAGGGCAUUUUGUGUCUGAUAUAUGAGGGCGUUGUCAGCAAGAAGCUGUAGGUCACAUGCUGGGGGUGACAGUGGGGUUUGAGCUGGAGCAGCAGCAGGGAACAAUGUGUGUGUGGCGGGGGUUUCACUUAGUAAAAAUAAGACUGCCAAGCCUCUCCCUCUGCUGGAGCAAAAGCCUCUCAUUUAUCUCCUAAACACCUUUCCAUGAAAAUCUCCACCCCUCCCCUGGUGCUGAGAGCCCCCUUCACGUCCCUAUACAUUUUUAAUUGUUUUAAUGUCUCGCCCACCCCAUUGGGGAGGUGAAACAUGAGCAUACGUUCUGGGCCCCGAAAGAUGGUGAACUAUGCCUGGGUAGGGCAAAGCCAGAGAAAACUCUGCUGGAGGUCUGUAGUGGUCCUGAUAUGCAAUUCAGUCAUCUGACCUGGAUAUAGGGGCAAAAGACUAAUCAAACAAUCUAGUAGCUGGUUCCCUCCGAAGUUUCCCUCAGGAUGGCUGGCACUCAUCCAUCUCCACAGUUUUAUCUGAUAAAGCGAAUGAUUGGAGGUCUUGGGGCCAAAACGAUCUCGACCUGUUCUCAAACUUUAAAUAGGUAAAGAGUCUGGCUUGCUGGCAUGGAGCCAGGCAUGGAAUGCAAGUGGUUAGUGGGCCACUUUUGGUAAGCAGAACUGGAGCUGCGGGAUGAACCAAAUGCCAGGCUAAGGCACCCAAUUCCAAUACUCAUCAGACCCCAGAAAAGGGGUUGGUUGAUAUGGAUUGCAGGACAGUAGCCAUGGAAGCUGGAAACCGCUAAGGAGUGUGUAACAACUCAUCAGCCGAAUCAACUAGCCCUGAAAAUAGAUGGCGCUGGAGCUUCGGGCCCAUACACGGCUGUCGCCAGCAAUGAGAGCUGCAGGGGCUACACUGCAAUGAGUAGGAGGGCCGCUGCAGUGUGCCUUGAAGCCUAGGGCGUGGGCUUGGGUGGAGCCACUGCAGGUACAGAUCUUGGUGGUAGUAGCAAAUAUUCAAAAGAAAACUUUGAAGGCCAAAGUGGAGAAGGGUUCCAUAUCAACAGCAGUUGAACAUGGGUCAACUGGUCAUAAGAGAUAGGUGAGUGCAUUCCGAAGGGGUAGGCGAUGGCCUCCAUUGCCCUCAGCCGAUUGAAAUUAAGUUGGGUUCAGAUCCCCAAAUCCAGAGUGGCGGAGAUGGGCGCCGAGAGGCAUUCAGUGCAGGAGAAGCUGGCGGGAGCCCCGGGGAGAGUUCUCUUUUCUUUGUGAAGGGCAGGCUGCCCUGGAAUGGGUUUGCCCCGAGAGAGGGGCCUGAGCCUUGGAAAGCCUUGCAGUUCUGGCAGUGUCCGGUGAGCUAUUGCUGUCGCUUGAAAAUCCAGGGGAGGUGGUGUAUAUCUUGUGCCGGGCCGUACCCAUAUCCACAGCAGGUCUCCAAGGUGAACAGCCUCUGGCAUGUUACAACAGUGCAGGUAAGGAAAGUUGGCAAGCUGGAUCCAUAACUUCGGGAUAAGGAUUGGCUCUAAGAGCUGGGUCGGUCGGGCUGGGAUGUGAAGCAGGGCUGGGCGUGAGCUGUGUCUGGACGAGGUGCUGCCCUCUCCUGGGGAUGGCAGUGACUCUGGAUGUGAGCUGGGUCCUUUCUGUGGAUCGCCUCAGCUGUGGUGGGCGUCACUCGCCUCUCCCUCUCUGCAGGGAUGGGCAGUGCCAGUGUUCUGCCUCAGCCGGUGCCUAGCAGCUGACUUUAGAACUGGUGCGGACCAGGGGAAUCUGACUGCUUAAUUAAAACAAAGCAUCACAAAGGCCCGUGGUGGGUGUUGAUGCAAUGUGAUUUCUGCCUAGUCUCUGAAUGUCAAAGUGAAGAAAUUCAAUGAAGCGCAGGUAAACGAUAGGAGUAACUAUGACUCUCCUAAUGCUUUCCAUGCAUCUCUGGACUCUCCCAGAUGUUGAGCCUGGAUGCUUAUGUAUAGGUUGUGGUGGAUUGGGUAAUCGGUGAGUGGAGAUGUAAAAAACAAGGCCCCUUAGUUAAAUUAUGCAUGCUUGGGACACAUCCAUGUACGGUGCAUAUAUGCAAUUAAUAAGGGUUAUGCAUAGGUUUUGCUAAGUUUCAGUUGCCUGCAAAAGGCACAGGGCAGGAAGCACAAAAAGAGUGGGAACUUAUCAGGUCGGAGUUGCCUUGCAACCAGAAGAGUAUUUAGGGAAGCCAGUCUGGUAGGGGAANGGUGCAUGUAUGCAAUUAAUAAGGGUUAUGCAUAGGUUUUGCUAAGUUUCAGUUGCCUGCAAAAGGCACAGGGCAGGAAGCACAAAAAGAGUGGGAACUUAUCAGGUCGGAGUUGCCUUGCAACCAGAAGAGUAUUUAGGGAAGCCAGUCUGGUAGGGGAAGGGGGUCUCUCUUUCUCAGAGAGUGAGAAGGUGGGUGCCAGCUGAGCUGUGAUUUUAAGUGCAGCACCAGUCAGGAUGUCUCUCUCCCUAACAGUAGGGAUUAGCUGUCAGUCCGUGAAAGCUGUUGAUACCAAUAAGUGCCGUAUUGUCGGGGUUUGGUGUUUUGUUGAGGAGCACACUUGCAGACACUUAGAGAUGAGUUUUUACUUGCAGCCACGACAGC